GUAAACGAUGAGUGCUAAGUGUUGGAGGGUUUCCGCCCUUCAGUGCUGCAGCUAACGCAUUAAGCACUCCGCCUGGGGAGUACGACCGCAAGGUUGAAACUCAAAGGAAUUGACGGGGGCCCGCACAAGCGGUGGAGCAUGUGGUUUAAUUCGAAGCAACGCGAAGAACCUUGCCAGGUCUUGACAUCCUCUGACAACCCUAGAGAUAGGGCUUUCCCUUCGGGGACAGAGUGACAGGUGGUGCAUGGUUGUCGUCAGCUCGUGUCGUGAGAUGUUGGGUUAAGUCCCGCAACGAGCGCAACCCUUGUCGUUAGUUGCCAUCAUUCAGUUGGGCACUCUAGCGAGACUGCCGGUGACAAACCGGAGGAAGGUGGGGAUGACGUCAAAUCAUCAUGCCCCUUAUGACCUGGGCUACACACGUGCUACAAUGGACGGUACAACGAGCAGCGAACUCGCGAGGGCAAGCGAAUCUCUUAAAGCCGUUCUCAGUUCGGAUUGCAGGCUGCAACUCGCCUGCAUGAAGCCGGAAUCGCUAGUAAUCGUGGAUCAGCAUGCCACGGUGAAUACGUUCCCGGGCCUUGUACACACCGCCCGUCACACCACGAGAGUUUGUAACACCCAAAGUCGGUGCGGUAACCUUUUGGAGCCAGCCGCCUAAGGUGGGAUAGAUGAUUGGGGUG
rnacentral:rRNA from 1 species